UACGUAGGGUGCAAGCGUUGUCCGGAAUUAUUGGGCGUAAAGAGCUCGUAGGCGGUUUGUCGCGUCUGCUGUGAAAACCCGAGGCUCAACCUCGGGCCUGCAGUGGGUACGGGCAGACUAGAGUGCGGUAGGGGAGAUUGGAAUUCCUGGUGUAGCGAUGGAAUGCGCAGAUAUCAGGAGGAACACCAAUGGCGAAGGCAGAUCUCUGGGCCGUAACUGACGCUGAGGAGCGAAAGCGUGGGGAGCGAACAGG
rnacentral:rRNA from 1 species